AUGCUCCGGCUGCGAAGCUCCAUCCUCGCCCAUCUCCUCUCUUCUUCUCCAGCCACCUCUCCCGCAUCCCCUCUCCGCCGCCUCCUCUCUGCCUCUGCCGUAGCGCCCGCCAUCUCCCCAAGCGCCGGAUUCGCCGCGGAGGAGUACCUCGUCUCCACCUGCGGCCUCAGGCGAGAACAGGCCCUCAAGGUCUCCACCAAGAUCUCCCACCUCAAGUCCCCAGCUAAUCCCGAUGCCGUCCUCUCAUUCCUCGCCGGCCUGGGUCUCUCCACCACCGACGCCGCCGCCCUCAUAGCCAAGGACCCGCUGUUCCUCUGCGCCAGCGUUGAGAGGACCCUGGCGCCCGUCGUCGUCGAGCUCACCGCGCUCGGUCUGUCGCACUCGGAGAUCGCGCGCCUAGCCUCACUCAGCGGCCGCCAAUUCCGUUGUAGAUCCAUCGUCUCCAAACUGCACUACUACCUUGGCCUCGUCGGCUCCUCCCACACCUUCCUCCGGGUUAUGAGGUUCUGCAAUGUCUUCUCAUACAGCCUCGAGAGGGUGGUCAAGCCCAAUGUGGCUUUCUUGAAAGAGUGCGGGCUAGAUGAUUGUGAUAUUGACUGGUUGUGCAUCUCAACACCGAGGCUGCUCACCACCGACCCGAUGCGUGUCCAGACGAUGGUGACACGUGCUGAAGACAUAGGUGUGCCCCGUCGCUCUGGGAUGUUCAGGCGGGCUCUUAAUGUUGUUGCCUUUCUCUCUAAGGAGGAGAUCACAGCCAGAGUGGACUACUUAAAGAAAACGUUCAGGUGGACGGAUGCUGAGGUGGGCAUUGCUGUUUCGAAGGCUCCCACGGUGCUGGGAAGGUCCAAGGAAUCGCUUCAGCGCAGGUCCGAGUUCCUCAUCUCCGAGGCGGGCUUGCAACCGGCUUACAUUGCUCAACGGUCGGUAAUACUCGGUCACAGCCUGGAGGGCCGGCUCAGGCCCCGGUACUACGCUGUAAAGUUUCUCAAGGAAAAUGGAUUGCUCAGGCGUGACCCAAGCUACGAUACAAUUGUCAAGCUGACCGACAAGGUAUUCAGGGAGAAAUUCAUAUACCCUCACAAGGAAGCUGCACCACACCUCGAAGAGGACUAUGAUGCCGCUUGUAAGGGGAAGUGCCGACUAAUUUCAGAUUCACAUGAGCCAGGAACAAGCUAUGAUAUAGCUAUGUGUUGCUUGUCCGCUGCUGUAUGUCUCUUAGAUGCUGGGUUGUUGUUGCUAAUGUGUGAUGAAACUGAUAAUUUGGUUCCUGAAUAUUGUUAUAUGAUGCCAUCAUUCAGCAGAGAAGAAACCAUGGACUGA
rnacentral:rRNA from 1 species